GACGAACGCUGGCGGCGUGCUUAACACAUGCAAGUCGAACGGAAAGGCCUGCUUUCCCUCGUGGAUUGCGGGUACUCGAGUGGCGAACGGGUGAGUAACACGUGAGUGAUCUGCCCCCAACUUGGGUAUAAGCCUGGGAAACUGGGUCUAAUUCCCGAUAGGACUGCAGGGUGGUGCCUGUGGUGGAAAACGAUUUUCUAGUGGUUGGGGAUGAGCUCGCGGCCUAUCAGCUUGUUGGUGGGGUAAUGGCCUACCAAGGCGGCGACGGGUAGCCGGCCUGAGAGGGUGGACGGCCACAGUGGGACUGAGAUACGGCCCAGACUCCUACGGGAGGCAGCAGUGGGGAAUAUUACACAAUGGGCGGAAGCCUGAUGCAGCGACGCCGCGUGGGGGAUGACGGCCUUCGGGUUGUAAACUCCUUUCGACCGCGAGGAAGCCACCUGGUUGGAAGGGUGGUGACGGUAGUGGUAGAAGAAGCACCGGCUAACUACGUG
rnacentral:rRNA from 1 species